UACGGGGGGAGCAAGCGUUGUUCGGAUUUACUGGGCGUAAAGGGCGCGUAGGCGGUCAGCACAAGUCAGUUGUGAAAGUCUCCGGGCUUAACUCGGAAAGGUCAACUGAUACUGUGCGACUAGAGUGCGGAAGGGGCAACUGGAAUUCUCGGUGUAGCGGUGAAAUGCGUAGAUAUCGAGAGGAACACCUGCGGCGAAGGCGGGUUGCUGGGCCGACACGUGACGCUGGAUGCGCGAAAGCCAGGGGAGCGAACGGG
rnacentral:rRNA from 1 species